rnacentral:rRNA from 1 species
GACAUGACAAUCUUCUGCAUGCUCUGGUGGUGGAAAGCUCCGGCGGACUGGGAUGGACUCCCGGCCUAUCCGCUUGUUGGUGAGGUAAUGGCUAACCAAGGCGACAACAGGGAGCCGGCCUGAAAGGGUGACCGGACAGUGUGGGACUGAAACGGGGCCCAGACUCCUACCGGAGGCCCCAGGGGGGAAUAUUGGAGAAUGGUCGAAAGCCUGAUCAAACACCGCCGCGGGAGGGAUGACGGCCUUCGGGUUGUAAUCCUCUUUCAACAGGGACUAAUCAAGAAUGACGGUACCUGCAAAAAAAGGACCGUCCAACUACGUGCCAUCACCCGCAGUAAUACGUAGGGUCCGAGCGUUGUCCGGAAUUAUUGGGCGUAAAGGGCUCGUAGGCCGUUUGUCU